AAAGGCUGGUGACUUGAACCCACCCAGCAGUUCCGUGGAAGAAAGGCCUAAAGAGCUGCUUUUGUAAAGAUUACAGCCAAGAAAAUCCUGUGGAGCAGUUCUAUUCUGUAACACAUUGGGGUCACCAUGAGUUGGAAUUGAUUCAACAGUAACAGUCUGGUUUUCUGGUUUUGUAAUCUUGGUUUGGAGUCCCUGGGUGGUACAAAUGGUUAACAUGCUCAGCUGAAAGGUUGGAGAUUUGAGUCGCCUAGAGAUACUUAAGAAGAAGGCUCAGGUGAUCUCCUUCUGAAAAGUCAGACAUUAAAAACCCUGUGGGGCACAGUCCUACUGAUACACAUGGGGUCGCCGUGAAUCAAAGUUGACUCCAUGGCACCUGGUGUGUAAUCUUGGUUUACACGUUGUGUUUGAUAGUGAGUUUGUGGCCUUUUGGUCUAGAACACUACCUCCUACUUUUUUUUUCAUCUCAUGAGAUUGACUGAAGAGUCCCAAACAGUUGUCGUGGAGAAUGUUCUGGAUUUAAGUGAUUGUUUCUUGCUGGUGUCGCUUAGCUUAUUCCUCUAUCUUUAGUAUUUCCUGUAAACUGCAAGUUGGCUGAGCAGUGAGGUUGGAUUCAGGGUGAGCAUUCCUGGCAAGCGUGUUUCGUGGAUGAUGCUAUGUACUAGAUAGAGUACAUGUUAAGAGUUUCAUCUCUCAAGGCAACUGAAAGGAGACAGUUCCCAGGCCUCGAAAAAACGACUCCUAAUCUACUAGAGCAUUAAAUAGUCAAGCCUCAUUUCUGCCCCAGGAAGGUCUUAAUGAGGAAAACAUCUGGCCACUUAGCCGAGGCUGGGAAACGCCUGCGUCCCCUCCAGGAACCAGCCGUGUGUGGGGAAGUACAGCGCUCAGUGAGUUGCCUUUUCCUCGCCUGUGUGUUUACUUCAGCUGAAGUGAGGUGUGGCGACAGGCAGCCGAGGAAGAGGAAGUUGUGGCGAGACCUACUUGUUUUUGUUUGGAUGGGGGAUUUUGUUCCUCAUUUCUUUACACAUGGUGGUUUUUUCCUCCCUCUCUCUACUCCCAUAUUUCAUCUCUCGGGCCAGCAACUGGAUAACAAAGUAAAUAGAUGGCCCAAGUCGGUUGGGCCCACAGAUUUGGAACUGAAAAGACUCGCUUGAAAAUUCCCUUCCUUAGAUUUAAAUUGUGACUCAGACUUGUUUGUUUCUAAACACACACACACACACACCCACACACAUCUCAAAAAACCCCUUAUGGAAAUGUGGCUGGGGAAGUGGGGGCUGAGUAUCAUUGUGCCCACCUACCCUAAGUGGCCAUUUCUAGAUGCUGUUUUAAAAUUGUUUCCUUCCUGUAAUAGGAGGCUGAUAGAUUAAAUAGUCUUUCCUGACAUUGUUAAUUAACUGGUGUAAUGAAGAAAACACAGGACAGCGCACAGUGACGGAGGAGGAGGCCGAGGGCUGUCCACUCUGCCAGGAGCCGUGAGCGUGGCCUCCCCUUGGGCCACCAUUUCCUUGUCAGGACUGUGUGACUAGGUGACUUGUCAGGACUCUGCUGGCUCUGAGGGCCUGAAAGCUAUGCUCGUUAAAAGCUAUUCACAGUGCGGGUACAUGAGGGCGUGUGUGUGUAUAUGUGUGUGUGUGUGUGCCUGCUGUGUGCUCCACAUGUAAUUGACUCCCUCACAGUGACUCCAUGAGGUAGAGACUACAUUACCCUCAGGGUAAAGAUAAAGGCCACCAGCUUCUUGUACUGUGGUGGCUUGCAUGUUACUAUGAUGCUGGAAGCUAUGCCACUGGUAUUUCAAAUACCAGCAGGGUCACCUAUGGUAGACAGGUUUCAGUGGAGCUUCUAGACUGAGACAGAAUAGAAAGAAAGGCCUGGCAAUCUACUUCUGAAAAAUCAGCCAAUGAAAACCCUGUGGAUCACAGUAGAACAUUGUCCAAUCCACAACUAUCAUGAGGAUGGCGCAGGACCAGGCAACGUUUCGUUCCAUUGUGCCAUGAGUCAGCAGCUGUUAUGGGUUGAACUGUGUCCCCCGAAAUAUGUGUCGGAAUCCUCACCGCUAUACCUGUGGAUGUAAUCCCAUUUGGGAAUGGGGUUUUCUUAGUUACGUUAUUGAGACCAUACCAGUGUAGAGUGUGCCUUAAGUUUAACCGCCUUGAAGACUUAAGAAGAGCAUAUUAGGCUAGAGAGAAGUAAGCACAAAUGGGGCAAGACAGAUGCCACCUGAAGGUCUCCAGGAAAUAGAGAAAUGCCCAGCUAUAGAAACUGAAACAAGGAUUACCCCCCUGCACCCUGAAUUUGGACUUCUAGCUUCCUGAACUGUGAGAAAAUAAAGUUUUGGUCUUGAAAGCCACCCACUGUGGCAUUCCUGUUACAGCAGCCCUAGCAAACUAAAGACAGCAGCUAACAACAACCACAAACCUGUCUCGAAAAAGGCAGAAGUUGGAUUUUCUGGCUGGACCCUGUCACGCCCCCAUCGCCUCUCCCCAAUCUGGACGCUCCACUGAAACCUGUUGACCAUCAUAGCAACACGCAAGCCUCCACUGACCGAUGGGUGGUGGCUGUGCCCGAGGUGCAUUGGCCAGGAAUCCAACCGGGUCUCCUGCACGGAAGGUGAGAAUGCUGCUACUGAAAUGGGGGGAAUCAGGGUGUUUAAGCUGUUGUCUGAGGAGAGGUGAGCUCUGCUCCCUGGCUUCCUAACCCAAACCGUGGGCACCGAGGCCCACACCUGCAAAUGAAAGGCCUGAGUUUUCGCAUUCUAAUGAGAGCUUCCUUCGUCGACCAGAACCAGCCCUCACACCAUCCCUCCCCAGCCUGGAGGAGGAGAGGACAAGGGUGGGGGGAGGUGCAAAGGUUGACAUUAUCAGGCUCUCCUCAACCCUGGCCAGGAGAAGGAGGUGGGCUCUGGGGGUGCCUCUUCCAACCUGGGGUGCCCAGAGGGAGAGCCUGGUCCUGCUGUGUCUGGCUGGCUGUGGACUGAGUGAAGGACUGUGUGAGCCCACGUGGGAUGGUGGGAGUUUGGGGGACAUCUGGCCUGGGUUCUGAAUGUUCCUGUCUGAGGACAGGGGCACGGCCUGCUGGGCCUGGGAGGAGGUGGCAGCCGCCCCCAACCUACCCCACCCCACCGGAAGACUGCAUGACACAAAGACCAGUCAAACCGAAGGAGCGUGGUAAGGACACUUGCUGGCCCUCCCCCAGCCUUCAGGGCUGGAGCAGGGACCCAGAAGAGAGACGGGUGAACGGGAUGAAGCCCCUCACCAUGAGGCGAGGGAGAGUGCUGGGCUAGGCCGAGGCCAGCUGGAUUGGAGGUUGGACCAAGCCAUUUUUUUUUUUUUUAAUUUUUAUUGCACUUUAAGUGAAAGUUUACAAAUCAAGCCAGCCUCUCAUACAAAAAUUUAUAUACACCUUGCUAUGUACUCCUAACUGAGUUUCCCCCAAUGAGACAGCACACUGCUUCCCUCCACUCUCUAUUUCCGUGUCCAUUCUGCAGCUUCUGAUCCCCUCUACCCUCUCGUCUCCCAUCCAGACAGGAGAUGCCCACAUAGUCUCAUGUGUCUACAUGAUUUAAGAAGUUCAUUCUUCACCAGUAUCAUUUUCUAUCCCAUUCUCCAGUCCAAUCCCUGUCUGAAGAGUUGGCUUUGGGAAUGGUUCCUGUCUUGGGCUAACAGAAGGUCUGGGCACCAUGACCACCUGGGUCCUUCCAGUCUCAGUCAGACCAUUAAGUCUGGUCUUUUUAUGUGAAUUUGGGGUCUGCAUCCCACUAUCCCACUGCUCUCCUGCUCCCUCGGGGGUCCUCUGUUGUGUUCCCUGUCAGGGCAGUCAUCAGUUGUAGCUGGGCACCAUCUAGUUUUUCUGCGGACUGAGCCAUUUUAAUAUCUGAAAGUUGCCAGAAGUUGAUGGCUGUCACAGGGGAUAUUAAAGGAUCACUUCCCAGCACAUCCUGGAGAGCAGAGCUGGAAACAAGGUAGGUUCAGGAGCGUACUCCUGACUGUUGACUUCUCUUUAACACAGGGGUGUGGUCAGCAGGGAGGUGACAUCCCACGCCUCUUCCUGCAAGGAAGAACUUUAAAGGAAGGGAUCACAUCUGGGGAUUAAGCAUCCCGGGCAGUGUUCUUGGGACCUCUAUGGGGCCAUGGGGUUAAACGACCUGCGUUCAAGUCCUGACCACACACCUCUGUGCUGUGUGGCCUUGGGAAGCCACCUUCCCUUCCCGAGACUCAGUUUCCACAUCUGAACGAUGGUCACAGGGCUGCUGUGAAGAAGACUCAGAAGCUGUGUCGACAGCCACCAGGCACUCUCAGCCCACAGCCAGCAAGGGGCACACUGCAGCCUGCCCCUCCGCCACGGCCCCUGGCUGUGGCCAUUUUUCCCUGCUGAACUCAGACUAUUAAGUAUGGCUACAAAUGUACUCCCUCAAAUAUUUGUCCCACUAAUUCCUAUGAUCAUCCAGAUACUCCUCAGUUUGUUUUGUUUCUUUUCGAGAGGAAUUACCCAAUAGAGCUUGGAAUUUGUUUAUUAGUGGUUAUUUCUGCACAUCUGCAAAAAGAGAAGAGCUGUUGGAGACAGCAGCGCAAAUCCUCUCUUUUUUUUUAAUGUCACAGUCAAAGCAGCAUGGACUCUUGGGCCUUUGAAUUAUUGAAUAUUCUAGAGUCUGAGGCACCAUUGAUUGUAAGAUGCACUGUCAAUUUAGUAUCAGCUUUUUGCGGGGUGGGGAACCCGACCACCUUCAACGUGCACGGCGAUUGUAAGCGCAUCCGGAUUUCAGAAACAUGAAAUGUGGAUGUGGGCGUCAAUGGCUCAGUGGGAGAAGUCCCGCCCUCCAUGUGGGAGACCUGAGUUUGGUUCCCGAACAAUACACCUCAUGUACAGCCACCUUCUGUUUGCCGGUGGAGGCUUGCAUGUCACUAUGAUGCUGAACAGGUUUCAGUAAGCUUCCAGACUAGGACAGACUAGGAAGAAAAACCUGGUGAUCUCCUUCUGAAAAUCACCCAAGAAAACCCUAUGGAUCACGAUGGUCUGAUCCACAACGGCUCAUGGGGAUGGCAUAGGACCAGGCAGCACUGGUCUGAGGCACACAGGAUCACCAUGCCUGUGCCAGGAGCUAGCAACAGCAACUACCAAACACGAUUAAGAUGCAGACAGGAAUGCUGUGUGAACACUGAGCAUUGCUCUGGCCACCCCGAGAGGAGGAGGGCGGGCCUGCUUCACUCACUAGGGUGGGAGACAGCACAGAGCACGGUUUGGGAGCUGCUCUCAGUAGUCCUGUAGGAAGAAGAGAGCCUCAUAAGCCCAAACACUCCCCUCAGAAAGAAUGGGAGCUCUCCCUUUCACCACUAGACUUUUUUUCUUUUUUUUUUACUUUAAGGUUAUUGUUAGUUGCCAUCAAGCAGAUCCCAACUCCUGGGGACCCCGUGUGUGCAGAGUGGAGCUGCCCUUUACAGGGUUUUCAAGACUGUGACCUUUCAGAAGCAGAUUGUUAUGCCUUUAUUUCAAGGUACCUCUGGGUGGGUUUGAACUGCCAACCUUUCAAUUAGCAGUCCAGCACUUAACCAUUUCACCACCUGUUGUUGUUGUUAUUAGGUGCCAUCAAGUAGGUUCUGACUCAUAACUAGGCACUAAGUGUUGCCAGAAACACCGCCGGACUUUGGUUCCUCGGCUGUGUCUCUUGGAGAGCAGACCUUCUGAGGAAUGAAGCAGAGCUCAGGAGAACAGGCAUCCAGGCAGCAAGAACUUGCAGAACUAUCUCAACAAAGGCCAGAACUUGAGCAGGAGACAGAUGCCAGCAGGCUCCCAUUCCUGGGUUCCGGCAGGUGCUCCUGUGGUGUACAGGACUGAAGCGAACUUCCUCGGGACACGCGACUGGACUGCUCAGGCAAGUCUCUUUAAGCUGCUUCUGAGCCUGCAAUUCUUUAUCCAAGAGGUCAUCAAACUUUAUCUUGUAAACUUCAUCCCAGAGCAAAUUUGCUAACAAGGAACGGGCUGUACUACCAUACAGCUGAGAACUCAAGGAAUACACAUCCGCACUUAAUGGGCUCUCAGAAGCCAUAGCCCUUGAGCUAUGUAUGCUAUUGCCAGGCGGACAAGCACAGACUCUGGUAGAGGGGGAGGAAGCCCUCUGAAGUCCAUGCUUGGGUGCCUGGAGCCAGAUUGGAGAGGUCUGAGCAGAUGACAAUCUCCAUGUGUUCAGAACAGGGACAGAAAACUGAAACCCAAAUCCUUUGUUGUUCUUUGAGACCACUGGGCAUCACUCUGUGGCUUGAAAAUGAUGCUGCAAUUGCUUGUGUUCCCGUUAUCAGACAGCUUCAAGAAUGAUAUGCAGUUUUGUUUAUAAGGAAAAGUGCCAAGCCCCUGAGAAAAUUCCAAGAACAAUGAUUGUAACUCAUGACGUGACAAGAGCAUAUGAAGUUUUUCUGGCACCUUGACCUAGGUUGUUGAGGUAGAGCCUUGUAGGAUUUUCUUUUUCACCCUCUCAGGAAGUUACUUUUUUUUUUUUUUUUUAACUAAUAACACUGAAUGAAAUUUCAUGGCCCUUUUGGGAAGAUUUGAAGGAAUUCUAACUUGAGAUCAAUGUUUCUAAAGAACCUCCUGUAUGCCAUUUCAGCUAAGCUCUAAGUCAUCACUUCCCACCCAAAGUGAAGGCUGAUUUUGCAGAGUGUUAUCACACUGACACUGGAUUUCAACCCAGAGGGGAUGGUAGAGUUUAAUAAGAUGUUAAUUUUCUUGAGUCCUAUUAACCACGACUAUAUGACAGCAGCAGAGCAAAUUUUGUUACAUAUUUAGUGUGGAACACCUCUUAUGAACAUAUUCCAAACUUUCAUCAGUUCUGAAAAAAUUUUGGCUGUUAUCUCUUCUCUUCAAAUAUUGACUUUGCUCCAUUCUUUCUCUCCUCUCCCCUGAAUUCUGAUUAUAUGCAUAUUGAUCUUCUCACCAUAUCCUUCAUAUCUCUUAACCUGCCCUCCAUAUUUUUUUUGUAUGUCUCUGUGCUUCAUUCUAGAUAAUUUCUGCUGAUUUCUUUUCCAGUUUUCAAAUUCUUUCUUCAGCUUCUUCUAAUCUUAUGUUAAACCUGUUUAUUGAGUUUUAACUUUUGAUUAUUCUAUUAUUUUAUUUUAUUUUUAGAAGUUCUACGUCAAAUUUGUUAUGUCAUUUUUUAUAUUUCCCCAUUUUCUUCAGAUAUUUUUAAGCUUUAAAUUUUUUAACAUCAUAAGUAUUGGUAUUUUAUAAUCUGUGUCUAAUGAGUCUAAUAUUUGACAUUUUGGAAGAGCUUUUUCUGCUGCCAGUUUUUUUCUACUGGGUCUUGUAAGGCCUUUUUUUAAAAAAAAUUCUUUAGUUAUUUUUAUUGUAUGCUGCUCAUUGUCCUUGAAAAAUUAUUUGUGGAGCAAACUGCCUUCCUUGCAUUUUUUUCUGCCAGUGCCUAGAGUCAUUACCAGUCAGGACCACUUUAAAUUAUGUUCUCACUUGAAAUUAUUUUGAGACCACCCUAGAAAUGUGAAUUUGGGAUGCAAAUCUCCAUAAAGACCUGCUUAUGAUUACAGCUUCUCAGAGAAUCCUCCACCUCUGUUUUGCUCAGUGUCUCAGCAAUUUUUACUUAGUUCCAUGAGUUGGAGAGGUUAAGAGGAUUGCGCCUGCCUUGUCCUUAUUCUGAGGGUAUAGAUUUUUAGGCUCAUAGCUUAAUGUGGACAGACUUGUUUUUUUACUCCUUGCCUUUGAUUUUAAGCCCCUCAUCAUCGUGGGACCAACCAAAAUUUAAGCUUGCCUGGAUCAGUAAGUGCUCUCAGAGCAAAAGCAGCUCCAGUAUUCUUCUUACCUCUCUGGGAUUCCACUUUCCUUAGAUUUUGGCCUAUUAAUUCUUUACUAUUGGGUUAAAAUGUAUAAUAUUGUCAUUAGUUGACCAUUUUUGAUUGUCAAAAAGGCAAAACAAAUUAAGUCUAAUGAAUCUAAUAACUAACCAGCCUUUGGAUGCCUUAAAAAUAUGCUUCUAUUUCAUCUAGUAUUUUUAGCUUUUUUUUUUUUUUUUAGUAGGAAGGUUGGCUCAAAUAAUAUAGUGGACCAAAUUACCAGAAAUGGAGACUGCCCUUCAAUUCUUUCUGCUAAUGGUCGUGGGACGUCAUCUCCCUCUCCAAAGCUAGCUUGUUCACAUGUGAUUUCUGGAACCUUUCUCCUACUAGUCCCUCCUUACCUUGGGGGACCACCACUUCUCUCUUUCAGCUAACUCUUGUGUUUCUUUUAGUUAACAGUUCUUGUUUCUCUCUUGACUGGGAAACUUUUCCAACAAGCAGGAUGACUUUCUCUUUAUCACAAUCUAUCUUCUACCUACUGGAGAGACUAAAGCUAGAAAGAAAAAGGCAAUGAAAAAUAGGAAACAAGUGACAUAACACAGUUGAGAGGCAAAGGCUGUUGUGAAAGGCUAAUGCGAAUGGAAAUUCAGGAUUACAGCCAUGUGGUUCGCUCUCAGAAAAUCCAAUCCCAUGUGGAGCAGGAGGACAGAGGACCACAGAAAAGAUUUCUCAAGAAAGAAAAUUGGUAGAUUAUUGGGUUCAUUUAAAUGUAUGGGGAGGAGAAUGCAUCCAGAGGAGAUGUUAGAGAAUAACUAAACAAAAGAAAACAACACACAUGCACACACAUGCACAGACAAAAACAAUAACAAAAAACUAAAGCCAUUAUUAAGUCCAGGGAAAAGAAAAGCUGUACAGCAAACGAAAGGUGGUUAUAAACAUCAUGUGUAUGGCUCAGGUAUAAAUAAUACUUUCCUAGCCAUGACUAUGUGAAGAGGGAAAUGGAUUUAUUGUGAAAAAAUCAUAUUAGGAGAAUGGGGAGUGUACAUGUGGGUGAGCAGUGGUGUAAGACAGCUAAAUUCUUAUUUUCUAUCGUAGGAAGUCAAUAGGUAAUAUCAAAAACUAAAUAAUGAAGAGAUACCAGUAUAAGCAUGUCAUUUAGAAAUAUGGCAUUGUGAAAAUGUCAGAGGAAAUAGCUAGGAGAGAGAAAAGUGGCUGUAUCUGGGGAUUCAGAAACAGAGAUGUGUGGCAGAGAAUUGCUUGUUUUAAUUCUAGGUCUAGUGUUAUUUGACUUUUUAGACUAUAUGCUUUUAUUAAUGAGAUAAAAAAUGAAAUGAAAUUUUAAAAAGAUAAAUAUUAGAAGUAACAACAAAAUUAUUUUAUAUGCAGUUGCCGUGAUUGGCUGCAUAUCUUGAAAUAUAAGAGACUAAUUAAAAUAUUAGUAUGGAGAAGAAUAUUUAGUGUGCUGACUGGUUACAAGGUAAAUAUUCAAAAUUAAAUAGCCUUCCUCUAUAUUAAAACUUAGUUAGAAAUUAAAAUGGAAAGAUCCCACUCAUUUUAGUGAGAAAAUCCUGAAAUACUUAAGAAUAAAUCUAGCAAAAGGCAUCUAGCACCUAUUGAAAAAAAUUAUACAAUAUUAUUAAAUGAAUUAAAAUAACUGUUGGAGAGGCAUACAUGUUCCUGGAUAUAAAAACAAAAUCGUAUAAAAAUGAAGGUAAAAGGUAAUUCCAAAUGAAAGUCCAAUGAACAAAUAUAUUCUAAAAAACAAUAUAAAAGAGUAACAGUCUGAGAAUAGCCAAGAACAUUCUGUGAAAGAAUAGUGUGUGUGUGGGGUGAGGGGGAAUGGUUUGCCUCACCAGGUAUUAUAACUUACUCAAAAACUGCUUCAACAAAACAGUAUGAUAUUGGUAUAAAAAUAAUUGCAUAAAUCGGUGAAGUAGAAUUAAGUCCAGAAAUAUUAACAUUUUUUUUAUCAUAUUUGGCUUGUUUCACUUGUUAUAAUAGGCAUGCAUUUGUAAUUUUAAAAAAUCUAAUAUAGAUAAUUAAAUAAAAAUCCAGUGAAAUAUUUUUAUUUAUAUGAAUCUGUAAUGUCUCUUCAGAAAAACAAUGGUCUUUUUUCUGCAUGUGUUCUUCUUUUUAAAAUUCCAAGGCUCAUUGUCAAGUAUCCAAAAACACAGAAGUAUGUUGAGAAAAAUGUUUAAGUCUCUCUUCAAGAUCCAAUCUUGGUUUCCUCCCCAGAGGAAAUUUAGGGUGUAUCCUUCCCUUUAGUUAUUAAUAUGGCUUUGCAUGGUUUUGGCUUGCCUGAUCAUUACAAUAAUUUCUCAUGGUAAAAUGUGUAUAACUUAAAAUUUGCCAUUUUAGCCAUUUUUAAGUGAACAAUUCAGUGACAUUAAUUAUAUUUACAAUGUGCAACCAUCACCACUAAUUUCAGGACUUUUCAUCACUCCAAACAGAAACUCUAUACCUAUUAAUAACUCCUAUGCCUCCCACCUCUCAGCCCCUGGCACCUGUUACCGUCGAGUUGAUUCCGACUCAUAGCCACCCUAUAGGACAGAGUAGAGCUACCGCACAGCGUUUCCAAGGAGCACCUAGUGGAACUGAACUGCUGACCUUUUGGUUAGCAGCUGUGGCUCUUAACCACUACCC